rnacentral:rRNA from 1 species
GGAAUUGACGGGGAGCACCACAACGGGUGGAGCUUGCGGUUAAUUGGAUUCAACGCCGGAAAUCUUACCGGGACCGACAGCAAUAUGAAGGCCAGGCUGAAGACUUUGCCGGAUUAGCUGAGAGGUGGUGCAUGGCCGUCGUCAGUUCGUACUGUGAAGCAUCCUGUUAAGUCAGGCAACGAGCGAGACCCACGCCCACAGUUGCCAGCGUACUCUCUGGAGUGACGGGUACACUGUGGGACCGCCGCUGCUAAAGCGGAGGAAGGAAUGGGCAACGGUAGGUCAGUAUGCCCCGAAUAUCCCGGGCUACACGCGAGCUACAAUGGUUGGUACAAUGGGUAUCUACCCCGAAAGGGGACGGGAAUCUCCUAAAACCAAUCUUAGUUCGGAUUGAGGGCUGCAACUCGCCCUCAUGAAGCUGGAAUCCGUAGUAAUCGCGUUUCAACAGAACGCGGUGAAUACGUCCCUGCUCCUU